AACACUAAAUAAUUCGUACUACUUUUCGACGAACGACCUCGGAAACGAAUAUGUACAUGUUGAAAUCCAUUUCUCACACAUAUUUCACUCCAUUUCAUAUUCAACAUGGAGCUUUUGCAACGGACAGGGUGAGGGGGAAACUAGCGACCACCACCUCAUUAAUUCGGGACCCGCGCGGGUAGCGAAGUGUCCGUGCUUCUUCCU
ensembl:ncRNA F15A2.10 ncRNA